AUUGAACGCUGGCGGCGUGCCUAACACAUGCAAGUCGAGCGGUAACAGGUGUAGCAAUACAUGCUGACGAGCGGCGAACGGGUGAGUAAUGCUUCGGAAUCUACCCAAUGGUGGGGAAUAACCAGCCGAAAGGUUGGCUAAUACCGCAUACGUCCCACGGGAGAAAGCAGGGGAUCGCAAGACCUUGCGCCAAUGGAUGAGCCGAAGUCGGAUUAGCUAGNGGUAGGUAACGGCCUACCAAGGCGACGAUCCGUAGCUGGUCUGAGAGGACGACCAGCCACACUGGGACUGAGACACGGCCCAGACUCCUACGGGAGCAGCAGUGGGGAAUAUUGGACAAUGGGGGAAACCCUGAUCCAGCGACGCCGCGUGUGUGAAGAAGGCCUGCGGGUUGUAAAGCA
rnacentral:rRNA from 1 species